CCUGCAUCAACAUCAAAGGGGUAGGAGGAACCCAGUCAUCGCUCCAAAGUGCCUGCACACUAUUGAUUGAAGGCCCUGAAGUACCCUCCAUCAACGCAGCAGAACCAUCUCGACACUAUCACUGGACCGUCCUGCCUCAAGGAAUGAGAAAUAGCCCCUCUGUGUGACAAAGAGUCAUCACAGAGGUCUUGUCUCCAAUUUGUCGGCAGUUUCCCCAGACCAUCCUGUACCACUAUAUAGACGACAUCCUACUGGCUGCUGAAUCCAAGGAACAACUCGCACAAGUUCAUUUGACUGUGAAAGCUGCUCUGUUAAGACAUGGCCUUGAGGUCGCACCGGAAAAUAAACAAAUGACAAUGCCAUGGAAAUACCUCGGAUUUCACAUCAAUAACACCACGAUUCAACCUCAGACUGUUGCCUUACCCUCCAACAUCCACACCUUAAAUGACUUACAAUCCUUGCUAGGUUUAAUUAAUUGGGUUAGACCUCUCCUAGGUAUAACAACAGACUCUUUAAAACCACUAUUCCAACUUCUGAAAGGGGAGUUGGACCUGACAUCCCCUUGACACCUGGCACCAGAAGCCUGAGCAGUGUUACAGGACAUAAAUCAAAGACUGAGUGCA